rnacentral:rRNA from 1 species
GACGAACGCUGGCGGCGUGCUUAACACAUGCAAGUCGAACGGUAAGGCCCUUCGGGGUACACGAGUGGCGAACGGGUGAGUAACACGUGGGUGAUCUGCCCUGCACUUCGGGAUAAGCCUGGGAAACUGGGUCCAAUACCGGAUAGGACCACUGCCUGCAUGGGUGGGGGUGGAAAGCUUUUGCGGUGUGGGAUGGGCCCGCGGCCUAUCAGCUUGUUGGUGGGGUGAUGGCCUACCAAGGCGACGACGGGUAGCCGGCCUGAGAGGGUGACCGGCCACACUGGGACUGAGAUACGGCCCAGACUCCUACGGGAGGCAGCAGUGGGGAAUAUUGCACAAUGGGCGCAAGCCUGAUGCAGCGACGCCGCGUGAGGGAUGACGGCCUUCGGGUUGUAAACCUCUUUCAGCACCGACGAAGCGCAAGUGACGGUAGGUGCAGAAGAAAGACCGGCCAACUACGUGCCAGCAGCCGCAGUAA